rnacentral:rRNA from 1 species
GGUCUGAGAGGAUGACCAGCCACACUGGAACUGAGACACGGUCCAGACUCCUACGGGAGGCAGCAGUGGGGAAUAUUGCACAAUGGGCGCAAGCCUGAUGCAGCCAUGCCGCGUGUAUGAAGAAGGCCUUCGGGUUGUAAAGUACUUUCAGCGGGGAGGAAGGUGUUGUGGUUAAUAACCGCAGCAAUUGACGUUACCCGCAGAAGAAGCACCGGCUAACUCCGUGCCAGCAGCCGCGGUAAUACGGAGGGUGCAAGCGUUAAUCGGAAUUACUGGGCGUAAAGCGCACGCAGGCGGUCUGUCAAGUCGGAUGUGAAAUCCCCGGGCUCAACCAGGGAACUGCAAUCGAAACUGUCAGACUUUCAUCUUGUAGA